GACGUAGGUGGCGAACGUUAUCCGGAAUUACUGGGCGUAAAGGGCGCGUAGGCGGCGUGUCAAGUCAGGCGUGAAAGCCCCGGGCUCAACCUGGGAACCGCGCUUGAGACUGGCAUGCUCGAGUUCGGGAGAGGAUGGUGGAAUUCCCAGUGUAGAGGUGAAAUUCGUAGAUAUUGGGAAGAACACCGAUGGCGAAGGCAGCCAUCUGGACCGACACUGACGCUGAGGCGCGAAAGCGUGGGGAGCAAACAGG
rnacentral:rRNA from 1 species